CUCUUAUAAUAACAAAAACAAUAGUAAUAAUGAUAAUAAUGAUUAAUAAGAAUGUCCCGGCCAGCCCCAGUGCCCUAGUGGUUAAGUUGAGCACGCUCUGCUUGGGCUACCUGGUUCGUUCCCCAGGCAGGGACCUACACUGUUCUGUUAGCAGCCAUACUGUGCUGACGGCCCACAUACUAAAAAAAUAGAGGAAGAUUGGCAAGGAUCUUAGCUCAGGGCAAUCUUCCUCAGCAAGAAAAAAAAGUGUCUUAUGUCCGUUGAGCACUACUAUGUGCCAGACACUGCAAACGCUUUAGGUGCAAUAUCUCAUUUCCUUUGCUUUUCUCUCCUCGAUGUAGAUCCAGUAACUACCAUUUUUCUGACUUCCCCAUGCCCUACAGUUUCACAUCCUUUAUCUCCUGCCACCUCCACAGCAACCUGCAAGCUAACUUACAGAAGAGGAAACUGAGGCUCGAGUUAAAGUCCUUCAAAAUUCAUCACUCAUCUCCUCAUCCACUCAAUAAAUAUGCGUGAAGAGCCCACUGUGUGCCUGGUGCCAUGCUGGGGGCUGGUGAUAAGGGUCCAGGCAUGUCCCUGGAGCUCCGGCCUGCAGACAACUCAGUCACGAUGGUGUGAUGAGGCCCUGCUCAGAGGUCAGAUCCAGGAGGAGGAUCCGUCCACAGCCCGCGGGGCUCCCGGAGCUCGUCCUCUAGGACCGGAGAGCCGGGCUGAGAACUGAGAAGAAAGAGGAGGCGUUUCUGAGACAGAUGAGGAAUCUGAGCCUCAGAAAGUAAGUCGCAGAAAGGAACUCAAAACCUUGCCCUUCACCAGGUGGCCACUUCUUGAACAGGCACCGCGGGGCUGUCCCCGUCAGCCCAGGGCGAUGAGCAUCAUGUGGGAGCAGCGUGUCCGGAGCUCCUCUGCUGUCUGAGCUCAGUGUUGCUCUGGAAUUCAUCUGGAGGAGGAGCUCCACAUACACACACACCGGAAACGAUGGUCAACCUCAGUCAGAUUAAAUGACAAUAAAAGCACACAGAGCCACCAUUCUUCACCUAUCUGAUUGGCAAAAAAACAAAAUUUGCAACACUAGGGCUUUGCCCCGGCUGUGCAUGAGCUGGCGAUCUCCUACCUUCCUGGGGGAGGGGCGUGGUCCAACCUCUGCAGAAGGCGAGUUGACAGCUGUCAGAAUUGCGAUGACAUGUCUCCUGACCCAGCACUCCAGGGAUUGAUCCUCAGGUCCGUGGGAGCUCUGGCUCAGAUAUGGUCUCCAGCACUCAAGGACGCCCUGCCGCCGAGAGCACCCGGAGGAAGCCGCCCAGGUCCUGAUGCAGAGCCAUCGCCGGGGCGCACGGUCAAGUGGAAAAGACUACGCACAGGGACUGAGCACUGCCGUAUCCCAAGCACUGAGAAGAGCCCCAGGGGCACGGUGACCCCAAUCAAUAUCAGUGGGGUGAAUGAAAGAGCGAAGGAAGGGAUGCGUCGUGGGGCCUGGAUCACUCACCUGCUGAGCGCUCCCUUUGUUCCAGGCACAGGAACACCCGUCAUCUUGAACCUUCUCGGCCACUCUGGGAGGGCCGGUGGCAGGCUGCAGCGGAUCAGUGUCCAGCCAGUACCCCAGGCCCCGCACGCGGCCUCCAGGCCCGUCAUGAAAGCCACUCCCUGCUCGCCGCUCGAAUCCUGCCCUGGCUCUCAGCCUGUGAUGGACAACUCAGCCGGCACAACCUCUGUCUGUGUAGGGCAUUUGGAAAUAGUUACCAAGUCUACAGACAUAUGGAAAAUUCUCCUAUGUAUACCCUCCCACAAAUGUAGAAAGUGGAUAUUCAUUGCCACCUUGAUUCAAAGUAAAUCAGGUAAAACAUUGGGAACAGCCUAAGUGCCCAUCACUUGAAGACUGGGUAAGUACACAUUGACAGAGCUGUGCAGACACAGAGCUGGCACCAGCCACCAGCCCUGGACAGCUGUAGGGGCUGCACACUGCUGGAGUCCAUUCUGAUUGGUCAAUGUCUGCGAUGAACAGUUGUGUGAUGUUUUGAAUAUCAUCUUGGUCAGGCAUCAAAAAGAAUGAGGUGCUCUCUAUGGAGCGAUGUAGAAAGAUCUCUAAAGUGUGUUGUUAGAUAAUAAAAG
ensembl:lncRNA